rnacentral:misc_RNA from 1 species
UCUCCGAUGGUGAACCAGCGGAGGGAUCAUUACCGAGUUAUUCUACUCCCAAACCCCUGUGAACUUAUAUCUUUACUGUUGCUUCGGCGGGUUAACGCCCCGGAAGGACCGCGAGGGCCGCCGGAACCAGGCCCCCGCCGGGGGACCCAAACGAUUAUAUCUUUUUUAUAGCAUGUCUGAGUGGAAUCAUUAAUCAAUGAAUCAAAACUUUCAACAACGGAUCUCUUGGUUCUG